rnacentral:misc_RNA from 1 species
AUAAAUGCUUCAUUGCAUCCACCUUUUGUGCACCGUAAAUUUUCACUUAAACUUUGUCUGAUUUAUAUUUGUUCUGAAAGGAACAUGAAUUGUAAUCUAAUA